GCCAGUGGAAUAAUGCAGAUAAAGCCUCUCAUAGGACCAACAAAGCAGAUCAUGAAAAUUGGUGUGAAAAGUUAUGACUGGCAUGAGCUUUUCCCAAAAGUACAGAAUAACGCUGGUGCAAUAAUUGCAAUAUGGGCUCCUAUAGUAGUUGUAUAUUUCAUGGACACACAGAUAUGGUAUUCUGUAGAAUAUUUGGUGGACUUUAUGGUAUUUUGCAACACCUUGGUGAGG